UGGAGGACCGAACCGACUAAUGUUGAAAAAUUAGCGGAUGACUUGUGGCUGGGGGUGAAAGGCCAAUCAAACCGGGAGAUAGCUGGUUCUCCCCGAAAUCUAUUUAGGUAGAGCCUUGAGCGGACACCUUCGGGGGUAGAGCACUGUUUCGGCUAGGGGUCCAUCCCGGAUUACCAACCCGAUGCAAACUACGAAUACCGAAGAGUGAUACUCAGGAGACACACGGCGGGUGCUAACGUCCGUCGUGGAGAGGGAAACAACCCAGACCGCCAGCUAAGGUCCCAAAGUCUAUAUUAAGUGGGAAACGAAGUGGGAAGGCUUAGACAGCUAGGAUGUUGGCUUAGAAGCAGCCAUCAUUUAAAGAAAGCGUAAUAGCUCACUAGUCGAGUCGGCCUGCGCGGAAGAUGUAACGGGGCUCAAAUAUAGCACCGAAGCUGCGGCAUCAGACGUAAGUCUGUUGGGUAGGGGAGCGUUCUGUAAGCGGAUGAAGGUGAAUCGAGAGGUUUGCUGGACGUAUCAGAAGUGCGAAUGCUGACAUAAGUAACGAUAAAACGGGUGAAAAACCCGUUCGCCGGAAGACCAAGGGUUCCUGUCCAACGUUAAUCGGGGCAGGGUGAGUCGGCCCCUAAGGCGAGGCUGAAAAGCGUAGUCGAUGGGAAACGGGUUAAUAUUCCCGUACUUGGAUAAACUGCGAUGUGGGGACGGAGCAGGUUAGGUUAUCGCACUGUUGGAUAUGUGCGUUUAAGUUUGUAGGUGGGAAGUUUAGGCAAAUCCGGACUUCUUUAACACUGAGAGAUGAUGACGAGGCUCUACGGAGCUGAAGUAACCGAUACCACACUUCCAGGAAAAGCCACUAAGCUUCAGGUUUAUCUAAACCGUACUGAAAACCGACACAGGUGGUCAGGUAGAGAAUACUCAGGCGCUUGAGAGAACUCGGGUGAAGGAACUAGGCAAAAUAGCACCGUAACUUCGGGAGAAGGUGCGCCGGCGUAGAUUGUAGUCCCUUGCGGGCGAAGGUUGAACCGGUCGAAGAUACCAGCUGGCUGCAACUGUUUAUUAAAAACACAGCACUCUGCAAACACGAAAGUGGACGUAUAGGGUGUGACGCCUGCCCGGUGCUGGAAGGUUAAUUGAAGAUGUGCAAGCAUCGGAUCGAAGCCCCAGUAAACGGCGGCCGUAACUAUAACGGUCCUAAGGUAGCGAAAUUCCUUGUCGGGUAAGUUCCGACCUGCACGAAUGGCAUAAUGAUGGCCAGGCUGUCUCCACCCGAGACUCAGUGAAAUUGAAAUCGCCGUGAAGAUGCGGUGUACCCGCGGCUAGACGGAAAGACCCCGUGAACCUUUACUAUAGCUUGACACUGAACAUUGAAUUUUGAUGUGUAGGAUAGGUGGGAGACUUUGAAGUAGUCACGCCAGUGAUUAUGGAGUCGUCCUUGAAAUACCACCCUUUAACGUUUGAUGUUCUAACGAAGAUUACGAAACGUGGUCUCGGACAGUGUCUGGUGGGUAGUUUGACUGGGGCGGUCUCCUCCCAAAGAGUAACGGAGGAGCACGAAGGUUUGCUAAUCACGGUCGGACAUCGUGAGGUUAGUGCAAUGGUAUAAGCAAGCUUAACUGCGAGACAGACAAGUCGAGCAGGUACGAAAGUAGGUCAUAGUGAUCCGGUGGUUCUGAAUGGAAGGGCCAUCGCUCAACGGAUAAAAGGUACUCCGGGGAUAACAGGCUGAUACCGCCCAAGAGUUCAUAUCGACGGCGGUGUUUGGCACCUCGAUGUCGGCUCAUC
rnacentral:rRNA from 1 species